GACGAACGCUGGCGGCGUGCUUAACACAUGCAAGUCGAGCGACGCUCUUCCUUCGGGGAGAUGACGUAGCGGCGAGCGGGUGAGUAACACGUGGGCAACCUGCCCCUAGCUCUGGGACAACACCGGGAAACCGGUGCUAAUACCGGAUACGACAUCGAGCGGCAUCUCUCGUUGUGGAAAGUUUUUUCGGCUAGGGAUGGGCUCGCGGCCUAUCAGCUUGUUGGUGGGGUAAUGGCCCACCAAGGCGACGACGGGUAGCCGGCCUGAGAGGGCGACCGGCCACACAGGGAGUGAGACACGGCCCAGACUCCGACGGGAGGCGGCAGUGGGGAAUAUUGCGCAAUGGGCGAAAGCCGGACGCAGCGACGGCGCGUGAGGGAUGCCGGCCGUCGGGAUGUAAACCUCUUUCAGCAGGGACGAAUUCAGACGGUACCUGCAGAAGAAGCACCGGCCAACUACGUG
rnacentral:rRNA from 1 species